rnacentral:lncRNA from 1 species
CCUGAUAGUGUUGGGAUCUCGAAAUUUUGAUGUAGGUGAAGAAGGGAUUCCUAUCUCGAAAUUCUGUUGUAGGUGAAGCGCCUCCUGUAGGCCAUGGAGAUGACCAGGGAUGCAUUAGGAGGCGGGCGACGUAAAGCGCUGGAAAAGAGUAUUGUAUUAUGUAUGGUCCUCCUUCACUUUUUGGAAGGUUGUAUAGUCGUUUUGAUACAUAAGAUAUAAUUUCAGGUUCUACAUACAUAUUGGUUUGAGAUGUUUUCAUUUUUUAUUAUUUCAAUGAAUAAUGCAUUCUGGAUCUGUUUUAUCAUACCAAUUUGAGGCAUUCUGUAAGGGUUGGUUGGAGGAAUAUUAUUUUUUGACGCACUAUGUGUGAACAUGUUGAAGGGGCAUGACCAUCAACGAGCUUGUGGCAGAAGUUUGAAUGUGAGUAGCUCCUAUCUUUUGUGUACUUAUUUUCAGUCUAUCAAUCAAAGGGUAGAAUGAUUACAUGUGCAGUUAUUUUGGUGUGAGCUUUGACAAGGGAUGCCGAUUGUUAUGUUGAAGAGGCUAAAAUCUUCCUCGGUAAGUGAUGUGCAUUAUGCAUCUGAUAAAAAAAAGAGGCUUUAGGGAGUUAAUUAUGCCCAUGAGAGGUGGUCCUGAUAUUAGGCUUGCUAUAACAUGUCAUAUUUAACACGUAAUGUUCUUUACCAACCAAAUGUUCACGUUUUAGAUUAUAAAGAAUGAUGAUCUCAAAGACAAAGAGCUCCAAGAACUCGGUUCUGAAACUUUUGGUUAGUCUGAGUAAUGAAAUGUGACCCUACUAGAAGUUCUACCUCAUUUCAGUUCUUCUCUUUUUCAUUUAAUUAUCUAUUUCAUUCCAAGCUAACUGUCUUACAUACCUAUAUCUUUCAAUGCAAGACUACACGAGGACUAUGGUCUAUGGGAUAUCAAGCUCCUUUAAAUAAUCUGCACCGGUUCUUCUGGAGAAUAAUGUGUAUAUGCAUGGUCUACAAUGGAGUUUACAAGAUAGAUUCACUUACUCAAAGAUUCAGCCUAACAUUUUCCAUAAGGAUUAUGAUUAUGUAUGUUAUACCAACUCUCAGUAAUAUCUACUACUAAUGUCUUAGUUGGUAGUCUCGCCUCACUCCACCUCAUCCCACC